UAAAUAAAUUUGAAAAUAUUAGAAGUUAAAGAGGGGCUAAUAAUAAAAUUUAGGGUAAAUUUCAAAUACCACUUAUGUGAUUUUACACUUUCUCAUCUUAGAAUCUUAUAGGUCAAAAUGUAUCAAUUUAGUAUAUCGUGGUUUCAUUUUUUUUUUCGUUAAAUUAUAUAAAAAACUUUAGAUACUCUAUCUAAGUUUAUCGAAUAUUCAUUUUAAUACUUUUUAGUUUUAACUUCGUAACUGAUUUAAUAAAAAGAAAAUAGCAGAAGAGAUAAUAAAGAAAAUAACAGUGUACUAAAUAAAUACACUUUAAAUUAUAAGGUACAAAAGUAAGAAUAUGUGAAACUACAGGGGUGGUAUUUGAAAUUUUCUCUAAAAUUUAGUAUUCA
rnacentral:lncRNA from 1 species